rnacentral:rRNA from 1 species
AUUAGACUACCCUGUAGUCCUAGCCGUAAACGAUACUCGCUAGGUGUCGGCCACGGUGCGACCGUUGUCGGUGCCGUAGGGAAGCCGUGAAGCGAGCCACCUGGGAAGUACGGCCGCAAGGCUGAAACUUAAAGGAAUUGGCGGGGGAGCACAACAACGGGUGGAGCUUGCGGUUUAAUUGGACUCAACGCCGGGAAGCUCACCGGAUAAGACAGCGGAAUGAUUGCCGGGCUGAAGACCCUGCAUGACCAGCUG